AUUGAACGCUGGCGGCAGGCCUAACACAUGCAAGUCGAACGAUCCUUCGGGAUAGUGGCAGACGGGUGAGUAACGCGUGGGAAACCUUCCCUGUGGUACGGAAUAGCUCCGGGAAACUGGAAUUAAUACCGUAUACGCCCUUCGGGGAAAGAUUUAUCGCCAUAGGAUGGGCCCGCGUCGGAUUAGCUUGUUGGUGAGGUAAUGGCUCACCAAGGCUACGAUCCGUAGCUGGUCUUAGAGGAUGAUCAGCCACACUGGGACUGAGACACGGCCCAGACUCCUACGGGAGGCAGCAGUGGGGAAUAUUGGACAAUGGGCGCAAGCCUGAUCCAGCCAUGCCGCGUGAGUGACGAAGGCCUUAGGGUUGUAAAGCUCUUUUGGCGGGGACGAUAAUGACGGUACCCGCAGAAUAAGCCCCGGCUAACUUCGUG
rnacentral:rRNA from 1 species